rnacentral:rRNA from 1 species
CAGCAGCCGCGGUAAUACGUAGGGUGCAAGCGUUAAUCGGAAUUACUGGGCGUAAAGCGUGCGCAGGCGGUUAUAUAAGACAGAUGUGAAAUCCCCGGGCUCAACCUGGGAACUGCAUUUGUGACUGUAUAGCUAGAGUACGGCAGAGGGGGAUGGAAUUCCGCGUGUAGCAGUGAAAUGCGUAGAUAUGCGGAGGAACACCGAUGGCGAAGGCAAUCCCCUGGGCCUGUACUGACGCUCAUGCACGAAAGCGUGGGGAGCAAACAGGAUUAGAUACCCUAGUAGUCCCUGUCUCUUAUAC